rnacentral:tRNA from 1 species
GGUGGUAUAGCUCAGUGGUAGAGCACGUGUCAGGCCUUGGGUUCAAUCCCUACCACCACCA